GACGAACGCUGGCGGCGUGCCUAAUACAUGCGAGUAGAACGCUGAAGGAGGAGCUUGCUUCUCUGGAUGAGUUGCGAACGGGUGAGUAACGCGUAGGUAACCUGCCUGGUAGCGGGGGAUAACUAUUGGAAACGAUAGCUAAUACCGCAUAAUAGUAGAUGUUGCAUGACAUUUACUUAAAAGGUGCAAUUGCAUCACUACCAGAUGGACCUGCGUUGUAUUAGCUAGUUGGUGGGGUAACGGCUCACCAAGGCGACGAUACAUAGCCGACCCGAGAGGGUGAUCGGCCACACUGGGACUGAGACACGGCCCAGACUCCUACGGGAGGCAGCAGUAGGGAAUCUUCGGCAAUGGACGGAAGUCUGACCGAGCAACGCCGCGUGAGUGAAGAAGGUUUUCGGAUCGUAAAGCUCUGUUGUAAGAGAAGAACGAGUGUGAGAGUGGAAAGUUCACACUGUGACGGUAUCUUACCAGAAAGGGACGGCUAACUACGUGC
rnacentral:rRNA from 1 species